UACGUAGGGUGCAAGCGUUUGUCCGGAAUUAUUGGGCGUAAAGAGCUCGUAGGUGGCCUGUCGCGUCGGCUGUGAAAACUCGGGGCUCAACUCCGAGCUUGCAGUCGAUACGGGCAGGCUAGAGUUCGGCAGGGGAGACUGGAAUUCCUGGUGUAGCGGUGAAAUGCGCAGAUAUCAGGAGGAACACCGGUGGCGAAGGCGGGUCUCUGGGCCGAUACUGACACUGAUCUGCGAAAGCUAGGGGAGCAAACAGG
rnacentral:rRNA from 1 species